UAAGGGUCAGAAGGGGAACAACCAUCAGAGAAGAUUUUUCUGAGGCAUGUUAUUUCUAAGGAGACCGAGGACAUCAAGGACUACAGUUCAGAGUUGUGAGUUUCCUCAAGCACAUGGUUUUCCACAUUCAUGUGUAUCCCCACUGGGUUUCUUUGUGUGAAUCUUGAAAUUGUUGGGAGUUCAGGAGGAAGAUAGAAAGCUUGUAGAGAAUUCUCCUCAAAUCUUCCACUCAGCUUACUUUUAUCUGCCCACAUCAGGUAGAAAUGAGUGAAAGUUGUUCAAAACUCUCAAUUGAAUUUCUGUGCGGCAGAAAUGAAAACGAUUGUCGAAAAAUGGUGGGUAGCAGGAUAAACAUUGCCAAAUGUUGUUUUGCCCCUGGGAAGCUUGAUUUCCGCUAUUGAGACCAAAAGACAAAAAUGUAGAGCCACAUAACACAAGCUUUGAACACGCAGC